UACAUUUCUAUUAUGACGUCAUAAUUUGCCGAUUUCCUUCAUAAAUACGCGAUCAAAGAUUUUCCCGAAAUUUAUUUUGCGAAACAAGUUAAAAAGCUGUCGAUGUAUUCAAUUUUAUUGCCUUCACAUAAGCAAUGCAAGAAAAAUAAUGUUCAUAUUUUAUUUUUGGUCAAAAUAAUUUUUUGUUACCACUGAAAAUAGAAUGCUUAUAAAUAUUUCACACUCUACUAAACAAUAAAUUGUAUGAAAAAAGGAAGCAGAUGAAAAUGUCGGGCAGUCAACAAGAAAGAGAAAGUGUGUCAGCUUCAGAUCCUGGGAUUUAUGUGUGUGUGUUUGCGCGUGUGCCCGUGUGUAUUUACGAUACUGCACAAGCCCUGAAAUUUAGGGUAGGGAUUAAAUCGAGAUUACAUCAAGACCAAUUCUCAAUUGCUACUUAUCUUUUCAACACCGAAAUGAAAUUCAAAAGUCGAACACCGAGGAACUUCCCAGAUGAAAUACUAUUAAGAAUUUAUCCCGGUGAGGUAACAAUUAUGCCAGUCCGACGCCUUUAAAGAGCUCCUCGUGCAGCUGUACACGAUGCCUGACUCAAACGUUCCUUUAUGUGGGAUAAUUUUCAUCAAUUGCAACUUACGCAAAACAUGAGAACAAAUGCAAAUGAAGAAAAUUUUUCGAGGUUGCUACUACAACUACGAAGUGGAUUUCUUCAAAGCUCCCUUGAUAAUCCAGCAGAAGAUAUUAUUGACAAUUCUGAGGCAGCAGAUGUAACAGUUUUUGUUAUCUUAUGUAUUUGACAAUUGCACAGUAGAAGAGAUGAAAAAUAGAGUGAUCUUAUCCCUUAAAAUUUCGGACUGGUUAAUGAAGAAAUGAAGAAAUUCUAAGUAGCUUGCCCCACCGAAUCUAAGAUAUAUCUAAGCACCAACUCAGUAACUUCUGAUAAUGAAGAAGAAGCUCAAUUAUCAUAUGAAGUCUAUAAACUCUCUCACACCUUCCGGAAUGCUUUCCCAUCGCCUUAACUUAAAAGUUGGAGUAAUUAUUAUGCUUCUUAGAAACCUAUCUAUAACACAAUGUCUAUGGAUUGGAACUCGCUUGGAUGUACUUCAACUCCACGAGCAUAGCAUCGAAGCGUUAUUUAUAAGGGGAUCUUAUUCUCACACGAUUGUACUCAUUCCAAGUAUCAAAAUUAAACCAAGCGCUGCAAACAUUCCUUUCGUUCUUCAACGAACACAGUUCCUGGUUCGUCUGUCCUAUUCUAUGACAAUCAAUAAAGCACAGAGGUAAACAUUCAA